UCGGAAACGCAUAAUUUAGGUUAAAGAAAAAGGAAACAGAUUUAAAAACAUUUCAACCCUAGCAAUCAAUCCUGAUUCCUGACACAAAGAGACUAGAAUUAAACCAAGAGACAAUCGAGAUCCAACCAGAAGAAGUGAAGAAUAAGACAAAAAAAAUGCGUAGUUCUGUACAAAGGAAAUUCGAAAAUUCGAAAUUUAACAAUUGCAUCCUCUUACGGAAAUUAAAACACGAAAAAAGGUUCAAGGCUAAAUAUACAAAUUAUAGCAAAAAUUCGAGUAGACAUUACGAGACAUGAUCAGUAACAAGAUGAAGGUGCACCGAUAGUGUACAAAAGCAUCAAACACAUAC